rnacentral:rRNA from 1 species
AUUGAACGCUGGCGGCAGGCCUAACACAUGCAAGUCGAGCGGAGCGGCGGACGGGUGAGUAAUGCCUAGGAAUCUGCCUGGUGGUGGGGGAUAACGUCAGGAAACGGGCGCUAAUACCGAUUACUACCAGAUGAGCCUAGGUCGGAGUAGGGAGUUGGUGGGGUAAAGGCCAACCAAGGCGACGAUCCGUAACUGGUCUGAGAGGAUGAUCAGUCACACUGGAACUGAGACACGGUCCAGACUCCUACGGGAGGCAGCAGUGGGGAAUAUUGCACAAUGGGCGAAAGCCUGAGCCAGCCAUGCCGCGUGGGUGAAGAAGGUCUUCGGAUUGUAAAGCACUUUAAGUUGGGAGGCGUUACCUACAGAAUAAGCACCGGCUAACUUCGUGCCAGCAGCCGCGGUAAUAC